UACGUAGGGUGCAAGCGUUGUCCGGAAUUAUUGGGCGUAAAGAGCUCGUAGGCGGUCUGUCGCGUCUGCUGUGAAAACUCAGGGCUUAACCCUGAGCUUGCAGUGGGUACGGGCAGACUAGAGUGCGGUAGGGGAGACUGGAAUUCCUGGUGUAGCGGUGAAAUGCGCAGAUAUCAGCAGGAACACCAGUGGCGAAGGCGAGUCCCUGGACAACACCUGACACUGAGGCACGAAAGCUAGGGGAGCAAACAGG
rnacentral:rRNA from 1 species